UUUCUACUCCCUCCGUCCGAAAAUACUUGUCAUCAAAAUGGAUAAAAAGAGAUGUAUCUAAAACUAAAAUACAUCUAGAUACAUUUCCUUUUAUCCAUUUUGAUGACAACUAUUUCCGGACGGAGGGAGUAUUUG
rnacentral:pre_miRNA from 1 species